rnacentral:lncRNA from 1 species
AUGGGAUAUCUACCACAGUGCUGUUUUAAUACACAUCUCCACUUCAACAGUGUGUUUGUGCCCACAGAAAGAAAGCAGGACAGACAGAUUUCAGUAAGACGUGUUCAUGAUGCAGUGACCAAAAAAAAAGCAAAGACAUCCAGAGUAUAGGGCAUGAGCUAGAAAGCUUUAUUUUUGUUAUAUUUUAUUAUUUUUUAUUUUGGGUUGAAGAGAUUGCUGAGGAGAGACUCGACCCGAGGAACUCUGGGUCCGCGAGGAAACGAGGAAAGGGAUUUUCGCAGCUGCUCUUCGUCGACUGUCGGUUUGGAUCCGCUCUUGUGACGGGAGACGCUGUUUGAACGGUGCACACUGCUGGAUCUCCGGUGGCCUGCCGGUGGCGCUAUCACUGAAGGCUUUUCCGCUGGCUGUGGAUGCUUCAUACCAAAUUUCAUAACCGGGUCUUUUAGCUUUGAAACAAGCAACCUGGAAAUACAGGACUACAUCAUCCAAAGCCCUUGCCGAGGGAUGCACUAACAGUGCCCAGGCACUGGAUCUGAAAGCUUUACAUUCCUCUUUACUUACCAACAAACCA